AUAGGCAGCACACGCUCCAGUGAGCAGCUGCAGUUUAUAGAGCUGAGGAGUCAGAGAAGUGAGACUGACAGCUGUCUCUCAUCACAGCCCAGCACACAGCAGCCAUGACCUUCAUCACCACCAUCAUCAUCAGCGCUCUCGCCUUCUGCGCUCACCGUUCUCUGGGGCAGAUCACUGUGACUCAAACUCCUGCAGUGAAAUCUGCAGUUCCAGGGGACAGAGUCACUCUGAGCUGUAAAACCAGCACCUCCAGUAAUCUGGAUGAUGAUGUGUCCUGGUACCAACAGAAGGCUGGAGAAGCUCCCAAACUCUUGGUGAAAAAAAUAAGCAGCCGAGUAUCUGGGAUCUCAGACAGAUUCAGCGGCAGUGGAUCUGGAACUGACUUCACUCUGACCAUCAGUGAAGCUCGGCCUGAGGACGCUGGAGUGUAUUAUUGUUUCGCCAGCUUUGGGGGUGCAAAUCUCAUCUUUGGUGGCGGCAGUAAACUUGAUGUUGGAAGAGACACGCGCCCCACCCUGACGGUCCUGCGCCCCGCCAGCGCGGAGCUGUCCAGUGGGGGAGGGGUGACGGUGGUGUGCCUGGCCAGCGGGGGCUUCCCCUCGGGCUGGGCGUUGGGCUGGAAGGUCGGGGGCAGCAGCAGGGGGGUGGGGGUGAGCGGGGGCACGGGGGUCCUGCAGCGGGACGGCCUGUACAGCUUCAGCAGCGUCCUCACCCUCUCUGCGGCCGAGUGGGAGAAGGGCGACGCCCUCACCUGUGAGGCCACCCUGUCUGGCCACGCCCCCGUCACCCAGACGCUGAGGAGAGAAGAGUGCUGAGAGUGAAGCCUGAGGAGGGGCAACUGCAGCCUGCCCCGCCCCACCCUGCCCCACUCUGCCCCGCCCUGCCUCGCCCUGCCCCGCCCUGCCCCGCCCUGCCACGC